UACUUACACAUGCAUGGCUUAAUCUUUGAGACAAGCAUAUGACUACUGGCAGGAUCAACCAGGUAGCAUUCCUCUUCGACAAAGAACAUCACGCAGGUACGAGCCUAGGCGUGCAUGAACCGUCAUUUAGAGAAUAGCAAACAAUGGCAAAACAAGGAUCAUGAAAGAACCCAAUGCCACAUCAUGUUCCGUAUCCAAGAGACCAAGCAAAGCACAAUGGGCCACACGAUCAAUGCAUGUGCAUCAACAGGAUGGAUCAUAGAGACUACUUCAAGGUUCAUCAUGUGUCACAAAUGCAACACACAACAAAAAGGACUUCAAUCGGCCAAAACGAUGCCAUCAAUUAGGUAUGCAACACAAGAAACCCACAAUACGCUCCAGGCGAUACAAGCCUUGACGCAUAACUGAGGAGGUAAGCCAGGUGGAAGU
rnacentral:misc_RNA from 1 species